GGCAGCAGCCGCGGGAACACCGGCGGCCCGAGUGGUGAUCGUGAUUAUUGGGUCUAAAGGGUCCGUAGCCGGUUUGGUCAGUCCUCCGGGAAAUCUGAUAGCUCAACUAUUAGGCUUUCGGGGGAUACUGCCAGACUUGGAACCGGGAGAGGUAAGAGGUACUACAGGGGUAGGAGUGAAAUCUUGUAAUCCCUGUGGGACCACCUGUGGCGAAGGCGUCUUACCAGAACGGGUUCGACGGUGAGGGACGAAAGCUGGGGGCACGAACCGGAUUAGAUACCCGGGUAGUCCCAGCCGUAAACGAUGCUCGCUAGGUGUCAGGCAUGGCGCGACCGUGUCUGGUGCCGCAGGGAAGCCGUGAAGCGAGCCACCUGGGAAGUACGGCCGCAAGGCUGAAACUUAAAGGAAUUGGCGGGGGAGCACAACAACGGGUGGGAAGCCUGCGGUUUAAUUGGACUCAACGCCGGACAACUCACCGGGGGCGACAGCAAUAUGUAGGCCAAGCUGAAGACUUUGCCUGAAUCGCUGAGAAGAGGUGCAUGG
rnacentral:rRNA from 1 species